rnacentral:rRNA from 1 species
GAUGAACGCUGGCGGCGUGCCUAAUACAUGCAAGUCGAACGAAUCUUCUUCGGAAGAUGAGUGGCGAACGGGUGAGUAAUGCAUAGGUAACCUGCCCCUGUGCGGGGGAUAACAGGAGGAAACUCCUGCUAAUACCGCAUAGCCAUGACCACCGCAUGGAGCUCACGCCAAAUAUCCUUUCGGGGAUAGCGCAGGGAUGGAACUAUGGCGCAUUAGCUGGUUGGCGGGGCAACGGCCCACCAAGGCAACGAUGCGUAGCCGGCCUGAGAGGGCGGACGGCCACAUUGGGACUGAGACACGGCCCAGACUCCUACGGGAGGCAGCAGUAGGGAAUUUUCGGCAAUGGGGGAAACCCUGACCGAGCAACGCCGCGUGAGCGAAGAAGGCCUUCGGGUCGUAAAGCUCUGUUGUAAAGGAAGAACGGCGCAUACAGGAAAUGGUAUGCGAGUGACGGUACUUUACCAGAAAGCCACGGCUAACUACGUGCCAGCAGCCGCAGUAA